GAUGAACGCUGGCGGCGUGCUUAACACAUGCGAGUCGAACGGAAAGGCCGAAGCUUGCUUCGGUACUCGAGUGGCGAACGGGUGAGUAACACGUGGGUGAUCUGCCCUGUACUUCGGGAUAAGCUUGGGAAACUGGGUCUAAUACCGGAUAUGACGAUCUCUUGGAUGGGGUUGUGGAAAGCUUUUGCGGUAUGGGAUGAGCUCGCGGCCUAUCAGCUUGUUGGUGGGGCAAUGGCCUACCAAGGCGUCGACGGGUAGCCGGCCGGAGAGGGUGUACGGCCACAUUGGGACUGAGAUACGGCCCAGACUCCUACGGGAGGCAGCAGUGGGGAAUAUUGCACAAUGGGCGCAAGCCUGAUGCAGCGACGCCGCGUGGGGGAUGACGGCCUUCGGGUUGUAAACUCCUUUCGCAAUCGACGAAGCCUUUUGGUGACGGUAGGUUGAGAAGAAGCACCGGCUAACUACGUG
rnacentral:rRNA from 1 species